GAUGAAGAACGUAGUGAAAUGCGAUACGUAGUGUGAAUUGCAGAAUUCAGUGAAUCAUCGAAUCUUUGAACGCACAUUGCGCCCCCUGGUAUUCCGGGGGGCAUGCCUGUUCGAGCGUCAUUUCACCACUCAAGCCUCGCUUGGUAUUGGGCGACGCGGUCCGCCGCGCGCCUCAAAUCGACCGGCUGGGUCUUCCGUCCCCUCAGCGUUGUGGAAACUAUUCGCUAAAGGGUGCCGCGGGAGGUCACGCCGCAAAACAACCCCAUUUCUAAGGUUGACCUCGGAUCAGGUAGGGAUACCCGCUGAACUUAAGCAUAUCAAUAAGCGGAGGA
rnacentral:misc_RNA from 1 species